GCUGGGCACAGCGGCACCUGCCUAUAGUUCCAGCUACACAGGACACUGAGGUGGGAGGAUCACUUGAGCCCAGGAGUUCCUCAUUGGGUGCCAACAGUAAAUUUGGCAUCUAUAUGGUGACUUCUUAGGAGUGGGGAACCACGAGGUUACAUAAGGAGGGGUGAACUGGCCCAGGUCAGAAACGGAGCAGGUCAAACUCCUGUGCUAAUCAGUAGUGGCAUUGUGCCUAUGAAUAACUACUGCACUCCAGCCUAGGCAACAUAGGAAGAUCUCAUCUCU
rnacentral:SRP_RNA from 1 species